rnacentral:rRNA from 1 species
UACGUAGGGUCCGAGCGUUGUCCGGAAUUACUGGGCGUAAAGAGCUCGUAGGUGGUUUGUCGCGUUGUUCGUGAAAACUCACAGCUCAACUGUGAGCGUGCUUCCGAUACGGGCAGACUUGAGGUAUUCAGGGGAGAACGGAAUUCCUGGUGUAGCGGUGAAAUGCGCAGAGCUCGGGAAGAACAUCGGUGGCGAAAGCGCUCUACUGGACUGCAACUGACACUCAGGGACGAAAGCUAGGGGAGCGAAUGGG